rfam:Schistosoma mattheei strain Denwood, Zambia genome assembly, scaffold: SMTD_scaffold0000784
ACUCAGCUGAGUCCCAAAUAGGAGGAAAUGCGUGUCCUGAAU